UCCUCCCCCCUCAGGUCCUCUGCCCCCCUUCUACCCCCCACCUGGCGCGCAGGUGAGUGCGGCGUUUCCUCGUAGCCGCACAGGACCGCCCACUUCGGACGCUUCCAAAUAACAGGGCGAGGCCCACCCACCUCAUCUACAUGUCCCGCCUCAUCUGCAUACUGCUCAUUCUUCGGCCUGGCAAUCUUGAGUCCUAGAGGCCCACCAGGCGAGGCCCGCCCACAUCGUAUGUUGGCCUCCAGCUCUGGCUCUGGAGUGUGCACAAGCCUCCUCCCCAGCGCGGAAGAGAUGCGUCCUGACCGGCUCCCCGCCUGCGGUGGCGGGCUAGGACUGCAGCUGGACCCUGCAGGCAGGGAAAAACUCAAGACUGUGAGGCUGAACCAAGGGCACAGGGCAGACAAAAGCCUGUGCAAGGGAAAAUUAGAUUUAUCAGUACUAGAAAAACCCAAGGCACUUCCUAUGUUCUUUUGUCAUCUUUGGCAGCGGUGGUGAAUGGAUGUACACAGAGCUCUAGAGGAGCGACGAUUUUAGAAAGACUUGAUCACUCUCCAGGAUGGAUACGAAUGCAGAUGAAUGCCACUCUUAAAUGGAAACUGUUAACGCUGCUAUCUAACCUACUGCUUUAUAGAAAUUAGCCUGAACGACUUUCUUAUGCUGGAGACACUUAGAACUAACUAAAUCUGGCAGUGAAAAAUAUUUAGGGUCCAUGAAGUCAUAAUCAGAUUAGCGGGUCUCUCUCCUACAUCACUUGAACACAAUGAUCCAUUCUCACUUCACCUUUCCAUUCGCCUCCCUGCCUCUCCACCUCUCCUAUGGCUCUAGCUUAUUAUUCUUCAAUUAAACUAAGCAUACUCCCAUACAA